rnacentral:rRNA from 1 species
AUUGAACGCUGGCGGAAUGCUUUACACAUGCAAGUCGAGCGGCAGCACGGGGGCAACCCUGGUGGCGAGCGGCGAACGGGUGAGUAAUACAUCGGAACAUGCCCAGUCGUGGGGGAUAACACUUCGAAAGAAGUGCUAAUACCGCAUACGUCCGGAGAGAGAAAGCGGGGGAUCUUCGGACCCCGCGCGAGUGGAGUGGCCGAUGUCAGAUUAGCUAGUUGGUGGGGUAAAGGCCUGCCAAGGCAACGAUCUGCAGCUGGUCUGAGAGGAUGAGCAGCCACACUGGGACUGAGACACGGCCCAGACUCCUACUGGAGGCAGCAGUGGGGAAUUUUGGACAAUGGGGGCAACCCUGAUCCAGCCAUUCCGCGUGAGUGAAGAAGGCCUUCGGGUUGUAAAGCUCUUUCGGCAGGAACGAAACGGCGAGCUCUAACAUAGCUUGCUAAUGACGGUACCUGAAGAAGAAGCACCGGCUAACUACGUGCCAGCCGCCGCCGUAAAAC